UAAAAAGAAUUAUUUUUUUGAGCGUACACUGCAAUAAGACUUGAGUUUUAAUUUAAUUAAUGCGUUUUAAAUAUUAUUUUCGUUUACUUCCAGAAAAACUAUUUCAAAACAAAAGGUAAUUUAUAUAUAUUUCAUAAAUUUAAAUUUUUUGUUUUGUGAACUCGUUUUGUUUAUUUGUGUGCUCUCUUUUUUCUCUCUUCCUUUUACUUCUACCUAGGGUGGACUUACAUCUACAUACGAGUAGUGUAUUUUAGGGUGGACCUAAGAACACAAAUUAAGUGAACAAAAAUAUAUUUUACAAAAUAAACACAUAUGAUACCUAUGAAUCUCCUUGAAAAAUUAUUAGAAUGGUACCAUAAUAAUAAUGUUACUAGAGAUCAACUUGAUGCACUUUUAAAAAUGUUUGAAUUCGGAAAAUCUAGAUCUUCAGUAGGAUAUUAAGUCCAAGUUUGAUAAUGGAGCUUAAUUAUGACGGUACUAGGGACAGGGAAGGUUUUGCGUCCUACAUUCAUUUAAAUGAAACAUUAUUCGAGUCACAAAGAAGAGACGGUUACCGCUUCACAGACCAUUUUAAAGACCUUCGACUGGCCUUCACUAGGGCCAUAAAUAAAACUUAUAAGGGUAAAAGUAUGGCCAAAAAGAUGAGAGAGGACGAAAACGGCCAGGAGUAAUACAAUAAGUUUUAA